rnacentral:lncRNA from 1 species
GCUCGCCAUCAGUGAGUAGCCACAGUCUGACCAUCUCUAAUAACACUUCUUUCUGCAGUUUCUGGGUUAGACAAUGCGUCAACAUUUGCAACUCACCAUGGCUCCACAGGGAGGGGAACUUCCACAGAUUACAACAAAGGAAAUCUGCCCCAACCGGGUACCACUGCUGGCCUAACCACUAUACCAACACCUGCAACUCCUCUGGGACCCACAGGACCUGGAUACUGGGCAGUCAGUGAUCCCAGACUGCAAUCCUUUACCUUGAAUUUCACCAUCAUCA